rnacentral:tRNA from 1 species
GGUGGCUCAGUGGUAGAGUGCUUGCCUUGCAUGCAUGAAGCCCUGAGUUCUAUUCCUCAACACCA